rnacentral:rRNA from 1 species
AGAGUUUGAUUAUGGCUCAGGAUGAACGCUGGCGGCGUGCUUAACACAUGCAAGUCGAACGGGGAUGCUUAUGGAAGGAGUGCUUGCACUUUGGAAAUGAGUAUCUUAGUGGCGGACGGGUGAGUAACGCGUGGGUAACCUGCCCCAUACCGGGGGAUACCACCUGGAAACAGGUGCUAAUACCGCAUAAGCGCACGGGAGCGCAUGCUCCUGUGUGAAAAACUCCGGUGGUAUGGGAUGGACCCGCGUCUGAUUAGCCAGUUGGCAGGGUAACGGCCUACCAAAGCGACGAUCAGUAGCCGGCCUGAGAGGGUGGACGGCCACAUUGGGACUGAGACACGGCCCAAACUCCUACGGGAGGCAGCAGUGGGGAAUAUUGCACAAUGGGGGAAACCCUGAUGCAGCGACGCCGCGUGAGUGAAGAAGUAUUUCGGUAUGUAAAGCUCUAUCAGCAGGAACGAGACAAGACGGUACCUGACUAAGAAGCCCCGGCUAACUACGUGCCAGCAGCCGCGGUAAUACGUAGGGGGCAAGCGUUAUCCGGAAUCACUGGGUGUAAAGGGAGCGUAAACGGCUGUGCAAGCCUGAAGUGAAAGGCGGGGGCCCCACCCCCGGACUGCUUUGGGAACUG